AGUGAAUAGAUACCCGGGUAGUCCCAGCUGUAAACGAUGCGCGUUAGGUGUAUCGGUGACCACGAGUCACCGAGGUGCCGAAAGAGAAAUCGUGAAACGUGCCGCCUGGGAAGUACGGUCGCAAGGCUGAAACUUAAAGGAAUUGGCGGGGGAGCACCACAACAGGUGGAGCCUGCGGUUUAAUCGGACUCAACGCCGGGAAACUCACCAGAUAAGACAGCUGAAUGAUAGUCGGGCUGAAGACUCUACUUGACUAGCUGAGAGGAGGUGCAUGGCCGUCGUCAGUUCGUACUGUGAAGCAUCCUGUUAAGUCAGGCAACGAGCGAGACCCACGCCAACAGUUGCCAGCUCGUCCUCCGGGAUGGAGGGGACACUGUUGGGACCGCCUCUGCUAAAGAGGAGGAAGGAAUGGGCAACGGUAGGUCAGCAUGCCCCGAAUUAUCUGGGCUACACGCGGGCUACAAUGGGUGGGACAAUGGGUAUCGACACCGAAAGGUGAAGGCAAUCUCCUAAACCCAUCCUUAGUUCGGAUUGUGGG
rnacentral:rRNA from 1 species